UACGUAGGGUGCAAGCGUUAUCCGGAAUUAUUGGGCGUAAAGAGCUCGUAGGCGGUUUGUCGCGUCUGCUGUGAAAACUGGGGACGCUCAACCCUCAGCCUGCAGUGGGUACGGGGCAGACUAGAGUGCGGUAGGGGGAGAUUGGAAUUCCUGGUGUACGGUGGAAGCGCAGAUAUCAGGAGGAACACCGGUGGCGAAGGCGGCCAACUGGGACCAUCACUGACGCUGAGGCGCGAAAGCGUGGGGGGAGCGAACAGGA
rnacentral:rRNA from 1 species